GGAGUUGUGGCUCAGAGGUAGAGUGCUUUCCUAGCAUGUGUGAGGCACUGGGUUCAAUCUUCAGCACCUUUA
rnacentral:tRNA from 1 species